rnacentral:tRNA from 1 species
GUCCAGGGAUGGGAAUCGAACCCACAACGUUCCGCUUACCGGGCAGAUGCCAUGUCCACUAGGCUACCCUGGA